CCAGCUCUGCCUCAGCCCCGGCGGCAGCCGCCGCCUCGGCCCAGCCGCCCGCCCCUCUCAUGUGACGGGCGGCGGGGGAAAGGCAGGCCCGGCCGGCCCUCUGCCGCCGCCCCCCGCCGCCUCUCCCCCUCAGGGGGCGGCAGUUCGCCCGCCGUGCCCCCUUCCCGGGCCGAGGGGCCUCGCUUCUGCCCUCUCCUCCUCAGGGUGUUCCCGGCAGGUUUGGCCUGGCGGAGUUGAGGCCAUGCAGAAGCAUUCUCCGGGGGGCAACGGUGGGAAGGGCUGAGGGGAGCCGUCGUGCUGGGUAUCGCUAUGGGCGGGGUGUCUUCUGGGCUCUGUGGUAGCCAGAAAAUGUCUGCAGGGUCGUUCCCAAGCGUCUACAGAGCCACAGAAGUCGUUCCAAGGUGUCUGUGAGAGGAAAAAGGUGAUAGGGAGAUGACAGGAAGUCUUGCUUGCUCCUGAUGCUUUGGUCUGAUGCUGGAGAGAUGCUGGAUGCUUCCCCUGCUGCAGUGGUCAUGAAGUUUUGUGUAUAAAUGGGACUGCUUCAUAUACAGCACACGGUUUUGCCUGGGGAAAAUUGGGCAUUCUCCAAAAACUGCUGUUGGCAGGGUUGAUUCCUUGAUGAUAAAUGUGGAUAUUUGCUGAAUUUUCAGAAAGAAGUAAAGAACCUGCCAUUGUGUCAUCAGGCUGGAUGUCGGUAUCUAACACAGGGAAAUGGAAUAAUGCAUCUUAGUGUUGAAAAGAAGAAUCUGAAAUCGUAUUUGAAGAGGCAGUCAUCAUGCACGCAGGCAGAAACAUUCAACGUCUUUGGAUGGAGAAAGGAGAGAUGUUUGGCCUAUGCCCUAAUUUCUUUUUAGAUUUUAAAUUUCGAUAUGCUUAAAUUUGAUAUGCUUUAAAGCAAUGUAUUUUCACUCUGAGAACCCAGCCUCCACGUGUCAAUCUGUAGUGCUCAAAUAUAGCUAUACCCAGAUAUUACUUCAGUUUUAAAGCCUUGUUAUGAAACAUCAACCUCUGCCUCCCCAUCCCACUCUCAAAUUGAGGAAAUACUUCUAAUAGCAAUAUAUUAAGAUCUUUCCAUAGUAUAAUGUAAAAAAGCCAUGUAGUACAUUAGUGCAAUUAAACUGAAAUCAAAAGUCUGUCUUUUUUAUCCUUACCAACAUGCAACUGUCAGUUUUAAUACAGAGGAAAAGAUCUAUGUAUACAUGCAUAUAAAAGAUGUGAAAAUACAAAGGCAUUUAUUGAAAACAGACAAAACCAGGAAGAUGAUAAAAUAGGAGGAGGAAGGGGCCUCAGAUAUAAAAACUUGCUUUGUAUAGCAGAAUUUAUCACUAAAAGCUAGGGUUGGCAAAUUGCCAUGCUUUAGAUAAAAAAAGCUAUGUAAUGUAAAAAAAAUGCUUGACAGUACAAAAUACAGUAGAUGCAUUUGCAAAACUAAUGUCUGACCAAGAAAUUCAAUAAAACAUUUUUUAAAGUUUCCUUUUUUUUACGUGUAUCUUUAAAAGCUUCAUUAUAUUUUCUAAUACCAGAAAUCUCAGUUGUACAGAUGCUCACUGUCCUCUGAGGAUAUCUUUAUCAGGUGUACCAUUCAGCAGGAUAUAGAAAAAUUACAAAUAUCCAAAUAAAAAAAAAGAUUAUGAAAAUGUAUUUUGAAAGCAAAUUUUUGUUAGUCAGAACUACUGAAGCAUGUUUUAUAGGAAGAUUAUUUACAUUUUAAAAUAUCUGCAGUUUUAAUCCACAAAGCUAAUCAAGGA